AUGCAUCCGGUGCGGCUGGGCCGUUUGUGGCUGUUGUGGAAAUCCUACCUCGCAGCUUCAGUAGAGAGCCGGUCUCCUCACCGCUUGAUCAACAGGGCCCGGGACAGGGUGCGACAUAGAAGAGACACUCACAGUGUACUUGAGUGUGUGAGUGAUUUCACCCCAUUGCUACAAAGGAUGGCCUCCCAGGGCUCUUUGUACUGUAGGAGAAUGAGAACACAUUCUGCAACAAAAAGUAUUUAUUCAGUGAUCUAUUUAAGAAGUAUUUAUUGGGCAGCCCGGGUGGCUCAGCGGGUUUAGCGCCGCCUCCACCCCAGGGCAUGAUCCUGGAGACCCUGGGUCGAGUCCCACUGUCGGGCUCCCUGCAUGGAGCUGCUUCUCUCUCUGCCUCUCUCUCUCUAUGUCUCUAUGAAUAAAUAAAUAAUUUUUUUUUUAAAAAAGAAGCAUUUAUUGUUGUACUCUAGGCUCAAUGUGGAGACGAUAAUAAUGUGGGGAGAUUUUUAUCUUUAGAGAUGACUUGCUUGAGUUUACGGGCCUGGCAAGCGAGAAAAUAGACGUAGGACCCUCGUGUUCAGUCGUGGAGGCUUUGUUGAGGAGUGUGUGCCUGCAUCUCGGCUGUGCCGUGGCCGUUCACUCACGCUGCGCUGGACUUCGUUUGUAAAAUGAGACCUACUCUCCCUACAGGUGGGUGGUUCGCGCAUGAAUGCUUGGUGGCUCGCUGGCUUGUUUCACUCAACACGUACGUAGUUGUGGGCAACACGUGUGUUUCUUGUACGUCAAAUGUAAACAAAAACCUCAUCAUUUGAAUCACGCUUUUAAUGUAAAAAAAAAUGCUCUUUUUGGGAAGGUGUUGUGUUUCGUUUGUCUUUUGAUCCUCCGCACCUAGGACAGUGCAUAACAGGGCGGUGCUCCAUGUGAAUGGAUAUACACCCUCCUUGGAUGCUUCUGACCCUUUUUUGGGUCCGAUUUACUCAGGCUAUGGGAAGUGGAGGGUGUAGGUACCCGGCGGUGCGUGCGUUGAUCUAAACUCUCCCUGCCGACCUGCUGGGAAUUCCCAUUCAAUGUUCAUGGCAACUCAGUGGGCACCUCUGGUGGAGCGAGGAAUGCAAAUACGGCAAAGACCGGACUCGACUCUCAAAGAGUUCAUAUCGGCAUGUGUUAUGCGGACUAAGCGUGAUUCCGUAAUACUCAAAGAAAACCAUAGAGUUCCUCACCCUGGAGACCCACCCCCUAAUGAGAACCUUGAUUCAGAUUCUCAUCGGGUAUAAAGAGCUUCAUUCAGGUCUCUCUGGAAUGAGGGAAAUGCAAUAAAUAUAAUGUAAGGAUUCCCGAAAGAGGAUCUUCUUAUUCCUGUCGCUUCUGAACCACAACCGCUACUUAGAGAAAGAUGCACAAUCUGUUUUGCAUCCAGCCUGAUCCUUGUCCCAACGUUAGUUCUCAUCAAUCAGAAGCUCGAUGGAGUAAAACUUCAUUUACUAGCAGCAAAGUGGCCUCUUUUCCUGGUCAACCCUUCCCCAACCUUACGAUGCCAUGACUCCCAGCAAACAUCUGAGGAGUACAAACUCUGACAUCACAUCAGAAUCGUUUCCUAAAUUGAACGAUACCAGAAAAUGCGAUGUAAUCACCCUCAAAAGAAUUCAUUCUCCGCUUUAAAAGAUUCACGGUGCAUUUCUUAAAGUGAGUCACACUUUGCAAGUAGAAAGGCUGUUACGUGUUGUUCACGCUUCUGCACUCGGUAUUCUGACCCAGAGUCUGAGAUGGUCAAGGAAUCAGGUUUUUUUCCCCCUCGUUCUCUGGAAAAUCCAAUGACCCACUCGCUGCUAUGGUUGUGUCAGUGCUAUUGGCCAACUAUCUGGACGCCAGCUGUGGCUUCUUCUGCGACUCUCUGGACGCAGCUGGAGAGCAUGAGUCCAGAUGAAAUUACCUUUAUCUGCUGUUUCCUGUCCUCUAACCAGAUGUUCUGGCCGUGUGUUUAGUUUAGAAGAGAGCAGCCGCUCCUUCAUUUUUUAACAACUUGUUUUUGUGAGAAUCAUAGCAAGAGUUCCCGAGGCCCUGAGCAGUGGGACAACUUGCCAGAUGUCACAUGCAGAGCCAUUGCCCUCAUUUCCAGGGAUGUGAUGUAAGCUUGGCUCUUGAGUCAUAGAUCUUUUUUUAUUUUUAUUUUUAUUUUUUUAUUUUUUUAUAAAUUUAUUUUUUAUUGGUGUUCAAUUUGCCAACAUAUAGCAUAACACCCAGUGCUCACCCCGUCAAGUGCCCCCCUCAGUGCCCAUCACCCAGUCACCCCCACCCUCCGCCCACCUCCCUUUCUACCACCCCUAGUUCGUUUCCCAGAGUUAGGAGUCUUCCAUGUUCUGUCUCCCUUUCUGAUAUUUCCCACUCACUUUUUCUCCUUUCCCCCUCAUUCCCUUUCACUAUUUUUUAUAUUCCCCAAAUGAAUGAGACCAUAUAAUGUUUGGAUCUUUUUUUACACAACAUUUCAAAAUACAGGGAAACAGACAAACGGCUGCAUAUCAUUUC
rnacentral:lncRNA from 1 species